AAUAAAUAACGCUUUUUUUUUCAAUACAAGGGUAAUAUAGGUAUAAUUAAUAUUAUAUUUAAUGUUAUACAACUAUUUCUUUAUUAAUACUUGUACACAAUUCUAAAAUAACUUAUAUUAAAGAACGGAUAGAGUAGUUUUUAUGGUUGCUUUAUGUGUUCAUGGUUUUCACAAUCACAAGAGUUACAAAAAACCGUACCCUUGAGAAAUUAAGGAACUUUCAUGUACUUUUUGAAUUGGCUCGGUCCAACAAAUAUGCUUGUAAGUAUGCUUGACACUGUUACCUUUUUCUCCUUUACAAAAACCCUGCAUCCAUAGAGGCUAUCGUGACUUACAGGUUAGUGUAUCAUCUGAUGGGAUGCUUUCGCUAGCGCUGUGGAUGCUACAAUUGAGUCCCAAAAAAAAUGUUAACACUAGCUCUUUAAUUUUGAUGUAUUCUUUGGAGGUGAACCACCAAUUCUCCUUUGUAGAAAGCUUUAGUAGCUAAAUUUGGAGGUUAUCCCACGCAGAAGCCGCACAUUCGCUUGUUGAAGUA
rnacentral:lncRNA from 1 species